rnacentral:rRNA from 1 species
UACGUAGGCAGCAAGCGUUGUUCGGAGUUACUGGGCGUAAAGGGUGUGUAGGCGGUUGGAUAAGUGUGGUGUGAAAUCUCCCGGCUUAACUGGGAGGGUGCGCUACAAACUGUCUGACUAGAGUAUGGGAUGGGAGAGUGGAAUUCCUGGUGUAGCGGUGAAAUGCGCAGAUAUCAGGAAGAACACCCGUGGCGAAAGCGGCUCUCUGGAACGGUACUGACGCUGAGACGCGAAAGCGUGGGGAGCGAACAGG